rnacentral:snRNA from 1 species
AGCCUUGUGCAAUAGCGGUACUAUAGCCAAUGAGGUUUAUCCAAGGUACAAUUAUUGCUAAUUGAAAAGCAUGCACUCGUAGGUUUUCUGCAAAGUCAGUUUUCCAUAGAAAGUCAGGACUGGAGUUUAGAUAGCUGG